UACAGAGGGUGCAAGCGUUAAUCGGAAUUACUGGGCGUAAAGCGCGCGUAGGUGGUUCGUUAAGUUGGAUGUGAAAGCCCCGGGCUCAACCUGGGAACUGCAUUCAAAACUGGCGAGCUAGAGUAUGGUAGAGGGUGGUGGAAUUUCCUGUGUAGCGGUGAAAUGCGUAGAUAUAGGAAGGAACACCAGUGGCGAAGGCGACCACCCGGACUGAUACUGACACUGAGGUGCGAAAGCGUGGGGAGCAAACAGG
rnacentral:rRNA from 1 species